AGAAUCAACGCUGGCGGCGUGCCUAACACAUGCAAGUCGAUCGAGAAAGUGGAGCAAUCCAUGAGUAAAGAGGCGCACGGGUGAGUAACACGUGACUAACCUACCCUCGAGUGGGGAAUAACCGUGGGGAAACCCGGGCUAAUACCGCAUAAUACCCACGGGUCAAAGGAGCAAUUCGCUUGAGGAGGGGUCGCGGCAGAUUAGUUAGUUGGCGGGGUAAUGGCCCACCAAGACGAUGAUCUGUA
rnacentral:rRNA from 1 species